rnacentral:rRNA from 1 species
CGUGGGAACGUACCCUUCACUACGGAAUAGCUUCUGGAAACGGAAGGUAAUACCGUAUACGCCCUCCGGGGGAAAGAUUUAUCGGUGAAGGAUCGGCCCGCGUUAGAUUAGUUUGUUGGUGGGGUAAUGGCCUACCAAGACUACGAUCUAUAGCUGGUCUGAGAGGAUGAUCAGCCACACUGGGACUGAGACACGGCCCAGACUCCUACGGGAGGCAGCAGUGGGGAAUCUUGCACAAUGGGCGAAAGCCUGAUGCAGCCAUGCCGCGUGAAUGAUGAAGGCCUUAGGGUUGUAAAAUUCUUUCGCCAGGGAUGAUAAUGACAGUACCUGGUAAAGAAGCCCCGGCUAACUUCGUGCCAGCAGCCGCGGUAAUACGAAGGGGGCUAGCGUUGUUCGGAAUUACUGGGCGUAAAGCGCGCGUAGGCGGGCUAUUAAGCCAGAUGUGAAAGCCCGGAGCUCAACUCCGGAAUUGCAUUUGGAACUGGUAGCCUAGAGACCAGGAGAGGUUAGCGGAAUACCGAGUGUAGAGGUGAAAUUCGUAGAUAUUCGGUGGAACACCAGUGGCGAAGGCGGCUAACUGGACUGGUACUGACGCUGAGGCGCGAAAGUGUGGGGAGCAAACAGGAUUAGAUACCCUGGUAGUCCACACCGUAAACGAUGAAUGCUAGUU